GCCCCGCCCCUUUCUCCCGGGCCCGGCCAGGAGCUUCCAUGACGUCAACGCCGGGCUCCAUUGACGUCGUCGGAAUCCCAGCCAUCAAUGGGGGCUAAAAAUAGGCGCGGAAUCAGCGCCCGGCGGCUUGCGCGAGGCUCUCCGCCCCCGCCUCCCUCCAGAUCCAGAUCCAGAUCCAGAGAGAGCCGGGCGAGCCUAUUUCGGGCUUGUGGCGAGCGGAAGUCGAGGCCUCGCCCCCUCCCGCCAAAUUGUGGAGGCGAGGGAAGGGGCGCCUUUAAGAGGAACCUAACUCCCCCCUCCCUCUCUCUUAUCGCCCAUCACAAAAGAGAAGAUCCCAACUCUGCCUGAGACCCAAGAGACCAGAUGCCAGCCAGAAUAGGUGAUACUAAGCUAGGGGCAAACAAUUUGCCUUGAUACAAGGCAACAUCCUGCUUGCUUGCAUUGGUACGAUCAAGCACUUAAGAUGCUCAAAAGAUGUUUGCGUUUGACGUCUCGGAAAAAGAUGGAGAGGUAAUGCCUUCACCCUGUGUGGCUCUGCGGCUGUUGUACUGGCUGGAGAUAAGCUCUAAGCGGCAAGUUAUCUUCCCAGAUCGAAGGAAGGUCCAAGGGAUUACCUGAGAGGACUCCUUUACCCAGCAGUUGUUGUGGAAACAAGAAACAAAACAAAACAGGUUAGUGAGCAGGGAAUCCAUCAUGGCCUCCUGUCGUCAUUUGCCUGGAGAGCUGCUAAGCAGCUCUUUAAUGGACCCUGGACCCAGCAUCUUUUCUUUCCCUUUCUUAUUUGCUAAGACUUUACGUACUAACACUUGGAAGGAAUCUCAAGCUGAAUUGUGCCUGUGCCUCAAUAAACAACUAUCUUUUUUUAAUUUUGAACUUUCCUGUCUCGUUGACAAAUAGAAGUUCAACUAGAAUUGCAAGUGACAAAGUAUAAGCUGGAAGCAGUAAAGCUUGUAAUGAAUAAAAAGGUUCGCAUCAA